rnacentral:rRNA from 1 species
CAGCUAGUUGGUGAGGUAAUGGCUCACCAAGGCGACAAUCCGUAGCUGGUCUGAGAGGACGACCAGCCACACCGGAACUGAGACACGGUCCGGACUCCUACGGGAGGCAGCAGUGGGGAAUAUUGGACAAUGGGGGAAACCCUGAUCCAGCGACGCCGCGUGUGUGAAGAAGGCCUGCGGGUUGUAAAGCACUUUUAGUGGGGACAAAAAGUCACGGGCUAAUAACUUGUGAUCUUGAUUUAACUCACAGAAAAAGCACCGGCUAACUCUGUGCCAGCAGCCGCGGUAAUACAGAGGGUGCGAGCGUUAAUCGGAAUUACUGGGCGUAAAGCGCACGUAGACGGUUUGGUAAGUCAGAUGUGAAAUCCCCGGGCUCAACCUGGGAACUGCAUUUGAUACUGCCUGGCUAGAGUAUCGAAGAGGGAAGUGGAAUUUCCGGUGUAGCGGUGAAAUGCGUAGAUAUCGGAAGGAACACCAGUGGCGAAAGCGACUUCCUGGUCGAAUACUGACGUUCAUGUGCGAAAGCGUGGGGAGCAAACAGGAUUAGAUACCCUGGUAGUCCACGCCAUAAACGAUGACAACUAGAUGUUGGGAGGGUCUGCCUCUCGGUGUCGC